rnacentral:rRNA from 1 species
AGGCGAAGCCGCGAGGUGGAGCAAAUCCCAAAAAUAACGUCUCAGUUCGGAUUGUAGUCCGCAACUCGACUACAUGAAGCUGGAAUCGCUAGUAAUCGCGAAUCAGAAUGUCGCGGUGAAUACGUUCCCGGGUCUUGUACACACCGCCCGUCACACCAUGGGAGUCAGCAACGCCCGAAGCCGGUGACCCAACCGAAAGGAGGGAGCCGUCGAAGGUGGGGCCGAUAACUGGGGUGAAGUCGUAACAAGGUAGC